rnacentral:rRNA from 1 species
AUUGAACGCUGGCGGCAUGCUUUACACAUGCAAGUCGGACGGCAGCACAGAGAAGCUUGCUUCUUGGGUGGCGAGUGGCGAACGGGUGAGUAACAUAUCGGAACGUACCGAGCAGUGGGGGAUAACUGAUCGAAAGAUUAGCUAAUACCGCAUAUAUUCUGAGGAAGAAAGCAGGGGACCAUUUGGCCUUGCGCUGUUUGAGCGGCCGAUAUCUGAUUAGCUAGUUGGUGGGGUAAAGGCCUACCAAGGCGACGAUCAGUAGCGGGUCUGAGAGGAUGAUCCGCCACACUGGGACUGAGACACGGCCCAGACUCCUACGGGAGGCAGCAGUGGGGAAUUUUGGACAAUGGGCGCAAGCCUGAUCCAGCCAUGCCGCGUGUCUGAAGAAGGCCUUCGGGUUGUAAAGGACUUUUGUCAGGGAAGAAAAGGGUGGGGUUAAUACCCCUGUCUGAUG